GAUGAACGCUGGCGGCGUGCCUAAUACAUGCAAGUCGAGCGAACAGACGAGGAGCUUGCUCCUCUGACGUUAGCGGCGGACGGGUGAGUAACACGUGGAUAACCUACCUAUAAGACUGGGAUAACUUCGGGAAACCGGAGCUAAUACCGGAUAACAUGUUGAACCGCAUGGUUCAACAGUGAAAGACGGUCUUGCUGUCACUUAUAGAUGGAUCCGCGCCGCAUUAGCUAGUUGGUAAGGUAACGGCUUACCAAGGCAACGAUGCGUAGCCGACCUGAGAGGGUGAUCGGCCACACUGGAACUGAGACACGGUCCAGACUCCUACGGGAGGCAGCAGUAGGGAAUCUUCCGCAAUGGGCGAAAGCCUGACGGAGCAACGCCGCGUGAGGGAUGAAGGUCUUCGGAUCUUAAAACUCUGUUAUUAGGGAAGAACAAAUGUGUAAGUAACUAUGCACGUCUUGACGGUACCUAAUCAGAAAGCCACGGCUAACUACGUG
rnacentral:rRNA from 1 species